AUGGAAAUACAGACUGUUUUAUUGAAUGUAUUUACAGCUGACUACAGAGGAGAACAAUAUUAAACAAGGCGUUGUGUAGUUUACAUCAUAUCUCGUGCGUUUUACAUUUGACAGCUCAGCUCCUCAAUACUCCAACAGACAGAACACCAUACAGUUCCUAAUUAAAGUUUCAGUUCCUUCCUUCUUCAAAGGGUUUUUGUCUAUUUAAUAAAAGCUAAAAGCAUAAUAGCAAAUGUUGAAUUCUUGUUAGAUUUAUUUAUUGAUGAACCUCUUUUACUUUAAAAGGUGCACGAUUGUAGCCUGGUCCCUGAUCUGUUUGUGCUGUCUUGGCAACUCUUAGACGGUCAUUAGAGUUGACAAGACAGCGCAAACAGAAAUGAGACCAGGCUAACUGAGACUGUGCAAGUGACUCUCAUUCUACACACUUUGCAUGGCAUCUCUGUCUUAGCAUGAGUUCCAAAUCAGAUUCAGAACAAGAUGACAAGAUAAUGACAAGAUAACCUACUGUACAGUUUGCCUGUCCAUAUCUCUCAUUCCAUUCAACAGAGUUCCUUCCUGUAGUAUCUCUUUCAUUCCCUUCUUGACUUCCCUCAGUCUAUCUCUCUCUCUCUCUCUCUCUCUCUCUCUUUCUCUCUGUCUUCAUCCCUCCCCCCACUUCACUCACAGUAACAGUCCACCAGUAAAAAAACAAAAAAUUGGGAAUACUUAAUGAGCUUGGUAGUUUAAAGCACCUGGCCACAUCACCUAAAUGGCUUAUGGUUCCUUCUAGAAGCCCGAGAUGUUACUGCUGUUAGCCUCUCUAGACAGACGGGUUGCCUUCAUACUUCCAUAAUACUUCACACACCACAUUCAGACCAGUGGGAUGAAUAGGCCUCGGGGAAAAGACCCGUGUCUACCUGGACAGGUAUAACCUACACCUGUCCAGGUUAACUGUAAAUUAUUCCAUUUGAAACCAGUUCAGAUCUUUUAGUUCUUUAAGAUCUUUACAUCUUAUGACACUGUAUAUUACGCUAACAUGCACAAGCGCGUUUUGGCAUGUAUGUAAUGUUGUUGCUUGAGGAAUGAAAGAAACGCUGGUGUGGGACAGGUAGACAGGUGGACAGGUGUAACCUACACCUGGGUUUGGGUUUGAGUAACAGAGAGUGGAGGAAUUAGUUAGAGAAGGAUGGGAUAAGGACGUCUGCCUAUAUUGAGGUGGAUGGUAGGACAGGGGUCACCUGACCCCAUCGCACUCCGGCCGGUUGGUCAGUCGGCAGGUAGUUAGAUUGGGAUAGGUAGUUAGAUUGGGAUAGGUAGUUAGAUUGGGAUAGGUAGUUAGAUUGGGAUAGGUAGUUAGAUUGGGAUCCAGUGGUGGAACAGGGGUAGGAAGAGUAGCAGGUAGUUAGAUUGGGAUAGGUAGUUAGAUUGGGAUCCAGUGGUUGAACAGGGGUAGGAAGAGUAGCAGGUAGUUAGAUUGGGUUAGGUAGUUAGAUUUGGAUCCAGUGGUUGAACAGGGGUAGGAAGAGUAGCAGGUAGUUAGAUUGGGAUAGGUAGUUAGAUUGGGAUCCAGUGGAGGAACAGGGGUAGGAAGAGUAGCAGGUAGUUAGAUUGGGAUAGGUAGUUAGAUUGGGAUAGGUAGUUAGAUUGGGAUAGGUAGUUAGAUUGGGAUAGGUAGUUAGAUUGGUAUCCAGUGGAGGAACAGGGGUAGGAAGAGUAGCGGGUAGCUGAGACUUCCUCCCAGAUUGGAUGUGUUUCCUGUCACGUUGCAGUCAUUAAAGAAACAGCAGUGAAAUCUGACCCCUGGCAACCUGUAACCCUGACUGUUGGCCUGGCUACAGAAAGACUUGUAGGAGCAGGACUUCAUCACUCCGCCU
rnacentral:lncRNA from 1 species